UGUCUUUGAGGCUUGAGGUGCAGUUGAGGUUUCAGUAGGUGUCGUAGACGUACAGACGCCUCUUCCGUUCUGAACAUUCAGAACUUCUGGACGUAUUCGAAGAGAUGGCUGCGAUGCGGUCGGCGUUUGUUUUCGAUGAUUGAACUGCACAAGGUCCGCAUCUUCGAUGACCGCGAUGACACAAGACGGGAAAGACGCGUCGGCGAUCGCCGGCAACCGCUUCACGGCACUGUGCCUGUCGUGGAACGUGGUAUUGUCAAUUCUCAUUGUGAUUCUAAACAAAUGGGUGUACGUGUACGUCAACUUCCCGAACGUUACCAUGACCAUGUAUCAUUUUGUGAUGACAUUCGUGGGUCUGCUAGUGUGCCGCGCACUCAAUGUGUUCCAAGUAAAGAAGCUCCCGCUGCGUCAGAUGUUGCCUCUCGCGACGACGUUCUGCGGCUUCGUCGUUCUCACCAACCUCUCCCUGGGUCACAACACGGUGGGGACCUAUCAGAUCAUCAAGACCCUCACCAUGCCGACCAUCAUGAUCAUCCAGCACUACUGGUACAACAAGAACUUCUCGAUGGGCGUCAAGCUCACACUGGUGCCAUUGACAUUGGGCGUGUACCUCAGCAUCUACUAUGACAUCCGCUUCAACAUCCUUGGCACCUGCUAUGCCCUGGCCGGUGUGGUUGUCACCUCCCUCUACCAAGUGUGGGUGGGCGAGAAGCAGAAGGAGUUCCAGGUGAACUCGAUGCAGUUGUUGUUCUACCAGGCACCUCUCUCCGCACUAAUGCUGAUGGUGCUGGUGCCCCUGAUCGAGCCACCAUGGGCUCCCGGAGGGUUCCUCUACCAGUCCUGGAGCCAGCUGCAUCUGAUGCUGGUGCUGAUGACAGGUGUGGUGGCCUUCCUGGUGAACUUGUCCAUCUACUGGAUCAUAGGCAACACGUCCGCAGUCACCUACAACGUGGUGGGCCAUUUGAAGCUGAUGCUGGUGCUAGUUGGUGGCUUCCUCGUCUUCCAGGACCCCAUACACACCGAACAGGCCAUCGGCAUUGUGCUCACACUGGCAGGCGUGCUGCUGUACACGUACAUCAAGGUGCAGCAAUGUGCAAAGGAGAGGCCGGUGGGAGCCAAAGCCACGAUGGCAUAGCCAUUGCAGUCACUCUUAGUCUCUGAUGUGGGCUACUCCACCAGGGUCAUGAGUCAUUCGUACGCACAUGUGGGACACUCACUGCGGUGACUAGUGGUACAGACAGCUCGUUGCCAGGAAUAAGGCUACUGGUCGAUUUCCCAGCCAAAGUGCGCGCAUUCCAGCGUCCAUUGCAAUGCAUAUAUGCAAAGGUGCUGUAAAUCUUAGCCUAAGAGGUGGGCUACUCCACUCGGGUCAUGUAUCAGCCAUACGCACAGGUGAGGUACCCAUUUACGGACACCGACAGUCUGUUGUGAAGAACAAGGUUGCGGGUUCAUCUCCCAGCUGCUGUGCACACAUUCCAGUGCCUGUUUCAAUGCACAAAUGACCUUGUGCCGAGAUUUUGGCAUACAUCGAGAAGUGCCAAGAAAACAGUUGAGCCCAGAUACAACUAAGGUGUUCGUUGCACAAAAUGUACUCGUUAUAGUUGCACUUUCCCUCAAAACUACCAAUAGAGAAGAGAAAAAGGUACAGAAGGAGCUGCUUUAUUUCUAAAAAUGAUGUGCACUGUGCUUACACUGGCAGAAAUCAGUGACUGAGGCCUGUUUCAGGAGUGUCGAACCGAUAACAGCACUCUCCAGUUUUCACAAGCUGUGGACGUUGUCAUAGGUCAGGCCCCUUUCAUGUACCAAAUUUUGGAGUGAGGCUAAGCAGCUUAAGACAUGUCAGUGUCGGCACCACUGUAGGGCACAGUUGGAGGCUUGCAAGUUUCUAAGUCAUCCUCAUCACUGGAGAUCUCCAUGUCCGAAAGUUGUCGCACCCUUCCAACAAUUGCUUCAAGAGAUUCAACAGUCUCCAAGAGAUUUAUGUGAUCAUCAGCAUUAACAGUUAUCUCAUGGCUGCAGUCGGCAAGAUUUGAGUUGAUGCCCUGUGUCCAUAAGGCUGAGUAGGAGGAAAUGUGAGCUUUCCGGAAGCAGUUUUUUAAUUCUUGCAGGCUUGACCUCCAUCCAUGAUGCGUUCAGCAUUUUCGUUCUGUCUAAAUCUGAGAUCUGAGGACAUGCUUUUUGUUGUAUGUGGGCAUGCUAGCAGUGCAGUGUCCACUAUCAUCAUCACCACCAUGCCGGCCACAAUCAUCAUUGGGACAGCUAGGCUCGAGGGCAUGGACUCUGGUACUACUGGCUUACCAUGUAGUCUUGCGAGGACAAGCAGGUUCUCAGCCCUCAAUAAAUAUUAGUCCUAUUAGUACAUAGUCCUUCCCUUUCCUCAGUUACGCAACACCCUUGACUGGCAGGUUCACCAAUUCGUUACGAUUGUAGACUUCGAAAAUCUAUAUUUGUUGCUCAUUUUGCCAUUCUCAGCACCAUUGGCGAGCACUUUAACAAUUGAAUCUUUAGUGCCGGUGUCAAUUGCAUUUUUCUUAAUUUAUGUCAGGGCUCCUUCCAACGUUGCGAUCGAUGUGUGAAGAAAUAAAGAAAUGCUGCUUGCCUGAAACUGAGUUGGAAGCUUUCUCCAGAAAAAGAAUUGUUCCUCGCUGCUCGGGAGUGCUUAAAGAAAAGGGAAGAGAGACGAUGCACCACAAAGCUGUGAUUGCUUGUGUGUCAUGAUUGCAGCAGCACUUGCUCCAGUAAAAAAAAAAAACAAUUACUGAACAAGGAAGAAAAGUGGUAUGUGGCACAGCAGUGCUGGUUCGUCAGGGUGCUGCCCCGCCACAAUUCAUUCUGUUUGUAACUGAUCUGACCAGUGUGCCCAAUCGUUACAAGUGAAUGGCUCUCUCAUAGAGUCCUUGCAAAACAUUUUCAGUGUAGAGAAACUGUUUUUAGUAGCCAGACGUUCAUUCCAAAUCGAAUCAUAUGCGGCCUCGACUGUACUAGAAAUUAGCUUGAAACUCUCUACUACAAUGGCAUUUAUGCCACAGUUGCACAUUUGUCACUGGAAAACCACUCAGUGCCAUAAAUACUGGCGGAAACAUCGCAAUGUGAUCGCUGCAGGACUGCUCAUUAAAUGCCAAAGAAUCUGAAAAAGGAGUGUGCAUCCAUCUUCAGCCUGCAGUCUGAGCGAUGCAAACACGCAAUACUAUGCAUGUGUCGUGGCUUCAGUUCCCACCUACAGUAUGUAGACUUAGUAUGAGCUCUCUGGUCCCAAGUGUUUCUGAUUAUGAGUUGUUUCUGUGAUGAUAGAGAGAGAGAGAAAAAGGAAAGGCAGAGAGGUUAACCAAGGUGUCACCCGGUUGGCUGCCCUACAUGUGGGGAAGGAAAAAGGGGGAAAGGGUGAUUGGGGGUUACUUAAAAUGUUUUUAAGUUCCAGGUGUAGAAAAAAAAGGGGGGACCUCAAUAAAAAUUAGUCCUAUUAGCAAUAGGACUAAUAUUGCUAAUAGGACUAAUACUUGAGUUAAGUUAGGAUUGAGUUAAGAUGUUACCCUUUCCUAUCGACCAUGUUGGGAAUUUAAGCAGAAAACUUUUAGUAGCACUUUAAGGAGGAAAACACACAAAUGACAGAAGGGAGGAAAAGAUUAGUCAGUUCCAGCAUUGUACUAAAUGCCAGGCAAUGGAUUGCCACUCUAAUGCAAGUACUCUUCCAUAGGGAUUGAGUGACUGCUGGCCUUUGAUUUGUCUCUUCACUUGUCUGAGUGCUUGUAUUGUCUGUCCUUGCUUGUCAUUGCACAGCUGAAGGAGACCCCCGACGCUACGCUGCCAUCCUCAUCUCAAGCCAAGCCAGUCAUCAAAAGCUAGUCAGAUACAAACCAUGUUCUGCCUUGUUAGGUGGACCUCACUUGCAUAGAACACUCGAUCAGGGUUUCUUACAGCCUGGUCAGUUUUGUAUUAAACACUUGUUUUGGUCACAGUUUAACAGUGUGUCCUUCA